rnacentral:rRNA from 1 species
AGAUGAUAUGCUAUUAUGAAAGAUUAAGCCAUGCAGGCUAGACGGACCAUUAUGGUUUUCGGUGAACAGCUCAGAAAUGCGGCCAAAGAGGUAUCAAUCGACUCAAGGGAUCGAAUCUAGAACGAUGGUAAUAAUACCUACGAUCCCGAGAGGUUUCUUUCCCAAUUGGGUGUCCUUCGGGGCAUUUCAAGGGAAAAUCWACUUGGCAAGCAACGUUACCAGGCGACUGGUGUACGAUAUGAUAGACCGUGCUAUCAAAUUGAAGGUUUUCUAACAGAUUACCUUGUUCCUUACGGAUAACGUGAACAUGAAGGUGCUGUUCCGGAGAGGAUGCCUGAGAUACAGCAACCACUUCCAUGGAAGGCAGCAGGCACGUAAAUUACCCAAUGUGAAGAGCAUGAGGUAGUGACCAUUGCUAUCAAUCAGUGUCCUUAUGGGCUACUGUCGAAAUACGAAUAAUUUAAGCAAAUAAAUGCUUAUGAAUGAGAGGGCAAGUCUGGUGCCAGCAGCCGCGGUAAUUCCAGCUCUUGAAGUGUAUAUCACUGAUGUUUAUGGUUAGAAAGCUCUUAAUUGGAUAUCUGAUAGUCUCUUUUGAGACUCCAAGCUGUUCCUCGGAUCAGCUGAGUUGCUCUGCUCAAGCAGAGAGCUCAAAUCAGGUCGGUUGACCAUGAAUGAAGUACCACGGUACAAGUGAAACGUAUCAAUGACGGCUUCGGCUGUCAUUUGAAUUCAAUGAUUACGAAAGACCCUUACGGGGAUUCAUGUAUAUGGCCACGAGGAGUGAAACCCGUUGACUGGCCAUAGACAACCGAUGGCGAAAGCAUUUGUCCAGAAUGUCUUUCCUAAGCAAGAACGAAGGUUGACGGCUCAAAAGUGAUUAGAUACCGCCGUAGUGUCAACGUUCAACGUUUUACACUUACCCCUUGCGAAGGCUUAUGCCGGCGCGAUAAGUGACAGGGAAACCACGUAAGUGGCCCUGUGCCUGGGGAAGUAUGGUCGCAAGACUGAAACUUAAAGGAAUUGACGGAAGAGCACCACCAGGAGUGGAGCCUGCGGCUUAAUUUGACUCAACACGGGGGUAAUUUACCCGGACCAGACAGUGCAAUGUUUGACUCUCUGAUUCCCCUUCAUGAAUCACUGGCAGGUGGUGCAUGGCCGUUCUUAGUUGGUGAAGUGAUUUGUCAGGUCCAUUCCGAGAACGAGCGAGACUCUAGUCGAGUAAAAGGCAUGGGUUCGAAUCCCUUGUUUCUUUCAGACAUUGAUUCCAAUGAAGGGGUAUGAAAAAGAGCCAUAACAGGUCUGUUAUGCCCUUAGAUGUUCGGGGCUGCACGCGGGUUACAAUAAGGGUAAAGUAAAGUGAUACCCUAUUGUACCCGGGUCUGGGAUUUGCUACUAUGUCUCACGAACAAGGAAUUCCUAGUAAGAGUAAAGGUCAUAAGCAUACUCUGAUUGUGUCCCUGCUCUUUGUACACACCGCCCGUCGCUACCCGGGACUGAAUUGUAGCGAGAACUGUUGGGAUUGUCUCUGGAAGCUUCGGCCGAAAGAGUGCGAGAACAGCAUUGAUCGUUACGGUUUGAACCGGGUAAAAGUCGUAACAAGGUAACG